rnacentral:rRNA from 1 species
AUGCCGAAGAACAAGGGUAAGGGAGGCAAGAACCGCAAGAGGGGCAAGAACGAGGCCGACGACGACAAGCGCGAGCUGGUGUUCAAGGAGGACGGGCAGGAGUACGCGCAGGUGACGCGGAUGCUCGGCAACGGGCGCUGCGAGGCCAUCUGCGUCGACGGCACCAAGCGCCUCUGCCACAUCCGGGGCAAGAUGCACAAGAAGGUCUGGAUCGCCGCCGGGGACAUCGUCCUCGUCGGCCUCCGCGACUACCAGGACGACAAGGCCGACGUCAUCCUCAAGUACAUGAACGACGAGGCCCGCCUGCUCAAGGCCUACGGGGAGCUCCCCGACACGCUCCGCCUCAACGAGGGCGUCGACGUCGACGGCCCCGAGGAGGGCGAGGGCGACAGCGACUACAUCCAGUUCGAGGACGAGGACAUCGACAAGAUCUAA